GAUGAACGCUGGCGGCGUGCCUAACACAUGCAAGUCGAGCGAUUUACUUCGGUAAAGAGCGGCGGACGGGUGAGUAACGCGUGGGUAACCUGCCCUGUACACACGGAUAACAUACCGAAAGGUAUGCUAAUACGAGAUAAUAUACUUUUAUCGCAUGGUAGAAGUAUCAAAGCUUUUGCGGUACAGGAUGGACCCGCGUCUGAUUAGCUAGUUGGUAAGGUAACGGCUUACCAAGGCGACGAUCAGUAGCCGACCUGAGAGGGUGAUCGGCCACAUUGGAACUGAGACACGGUCCAAACUCCUACGGGAGGCAGCAGUGGGGAGUAUUGCACAAUGGGCGAAAGCCUGAUGCAGCAACGCCGCGUGAGCGAUGAAGGCCUUCGGGUCGUAAAGCUCUGUCCUCAAGGAAGAUAAUGACGGUACUUGAGGAGGAAGCCCCGGCUAACUACGUGCCAGCCGCCGCUGUAA
rnacentral:rRNA from 1 species